UGGUGGAGUGAUUUGUCUGGUUAAUUCCGUUAACGAACGAGACCUCAGCCUGCUAAAUAGUAUGCAUUUUCUUUGGAAAGUGUAAGACUUCUUAGAGGACAUUUCGGUUUUACCGGAAGGAAGUUUGAGGCAAUAACA
rnacentral:rRNA from 1 species